rnacentral:rRNA from 1 species
AGUGAACGCUGGCGGUAGGCCUAACACAUGCAAGUCGAACGGCAGCACAGUAAGAGCUUGCCCUUACGGGUGGCGAGUGGCGGACGGGUGAGGAAUACAUCGGAAUCUACUUUUUCGUGGGGGAUAACGUAGGGAAACUUACGCUAAUACCGCAUACGACCUACGGGUGAAAGCAGGGGAUCUUCGGACCUUGCGCGAUUGAAUGAGCCGAUGUCGGAUUAGCUAGUUGGCGGGGUAAAGGCCCACCAAGGCGACGAUCCGUAGCUGGUCUGAGAGGAUGAUCGGCCACACUGGAACUGAGACACGGUCCAGACUCCUACGGGAGGCAGCAGUGGGGAAUAUUGGACAAUGGGCGCAAGCCUGAUCCAGCCAUGCCGCGUGGGUGAAGAAGGCCUUCGGGUUGUAAAGCCCUGUUGUUAGGAAAGAAAAGCAGCGGAUUAAUACCCCGCUGUUCUGACGGUACCCAAACAAUAAGCACCGGCUAACUUCGUG